rnacentral:rRNA from 1 species
GAUGAACGCUGGCGGCGUGCCUAAUACAUGCAAGUCGAGCGAACAGAUGAGGAGCUUGCUCCUCUGACGUUAGCGGCGGACGGGUGAGUAACACGUGGAUAACCUACCUAUAAGACUGGGAUAACUUCGGGAAACCGGAGCUAAUACCGGAUAAUAUAUUGAACCGCAUGGUUCAAUAGUGAAAGACGGUUUUGCUGUCACUUAUAGAUGGAUCCGCACCGCAUUAGCUAGUUGGUAAGGUAACGGCUUACCAAGGCAACGAUGCGUAGCCGACCUGAGAGGGUGAUCGGCCACACUGGAACUGAGACACGGUCCAGACUCCUACGGGAGGCAGCAGUAGGGAAUCUUCCGCAAUGGACGAAAGCCUGACGGAGCACCGCCGCAUGAGUGAUGAAGGUCUUCGGAUCGUAAAACUCUGUUAUUAGGGAAGAACAAAUGUGUAAGUAACUAUGCACGUCUUGACGGUACCUAAUCAGAAAGCCACGGCUAACUACGUG